GAUGAACGCUGGCGGCGUGUCUAAUACAUGCAAGUCGAGCGAACGGACGAGAAGCUUGCUUCUCUGAUGUUAGCGGCGGACGGGUGAGUAACACGUGGAUAACCUACCUAUAAGACUGGGAUAACUUCGGGAAACCGGAGCUAAUACCGGAUAAUAUUUUGAACCGCAUGGUUCAAAAGUGAAAGACGGUCUUGCUGUCACUUAUAGAUGGAUCCGCGCUGCAUUAGCUAGUUGGUAAGGUAACGGCUUACCAAGGCAACGAUGCAUAGCCGACCUGAGAGGGUGAUCGGCCACACUGGAACUGAGACACGGUCCAGACUCCUACGGGAGGCAGCAGUAGGGAAUCUUCCGCAAAGGGCGAAAGCCUGACGGAGCAACGCCGCGUGAGUGAUGAAGGUCUUCGGAUCGUAAAACUCUGUUAUUAGGGAAGAACAUAUGUGUAAGUAACUGUGCACAUCUUGACGGUACCUAAUCAGAAAGCCACGGCUAACUACGUG
rnacentral:rRNA from 1 species